rnacentral:rRNA from 1 species
GUGUCAGCCGCCGCGGUAAAACGUAGGUCCCGAGCGUUGUUCGGAUUCACUGGGUGUAAAGGGCGCGUAGGUGGUUGUCUGUGUCUCAUGUGAAAACUCAGGGCUCAACUCUGAGAUUGCGUGGGAAACUAGGCAGCUAGAGGACGGUAGAGGGGAGUGGAAUUCCCAGUGUAGCGGUGAAAUGCGUAGAUAUUGGGAGGAACACCAGUGGCGAAGGCGACUACCUGGACGAUAACUGACGCUGAGGCACGAAAGCUAGGGGAGCAAACAGGAUUAGAUACCCUGGUAGUCCUAGCCGUAAACGAUGGGUGCUAGGUGUUGGGGGGUAAAGACCCUUCAGUGCCGAAGCCAACGCGAUAAGCAUCCCACCUGGGGAGUACGGCCGCAAGGUUGAAACUCAAAUAAAUUGACGG